UAUCGGUCAUCACUAAUGGCAAAAACGUAGACAAAGCAAAAAAAAACUACAAGUAUUGACGGAAAAACAGAUUACAUUUGCUGGCUAUCGGUGACCUAGCCAAGCGCUCCCACCCGACCAUGAGUGCCCUCGAGGCGCUGCAGGGCACCAUCCAUUCUCUGUCGGCAGGAGCCCCCUCCUCGCGACUACGACGGUUCCACCUCCCCCACUGGGAAAGCUUACUCACACAUUGUGGGUAUUACAAAGGUUUAAUAAAUAUCCCUUUAAGACCGAAACCUGGCCGCCGUCUCGGAUUUUUACGCGGUCAAAGCAGAGGAUUUGUUUUGCUGGAAAAGGGUGCAGGCGCCGCGGAAACUAUGCUCUACCAGUCAUGUAUUGGUAGAGCUCGCAUGGAAACGCGGCCCUCAAAGGAACAUGCGCGAUGCGCGUGUGUAUGGUCAUCUAAUCCUGAGGAGCUCCAGGGGAAAAGAAGGGACAGGCCAAAAAGGCAAACAACGAGGACAAAUAAGGCUCUCGGGUCUAACUCCGGAUAAAUUCACAAACAGGGAAGUAAAUAUCGAUAUAUAUAAUCAAGGUACACGUGUAUUUAAUUUUUCCUAAAUUUCAGCCACUGUUGGGCCGGGCCUGGAGGCGAUGAUAGUCGGGGCUGAUGACUUCCCGCCGGAGGCCUGCAGCGAUACAGGUCUCUAGGAAAGAAAACUGGCGCUCUCCGGUGAGUUAUGCAAGGGCAGUCGGAGGUUCGGCCGCCCGACAAAAUGGCGAUACCUACCAACGCCGCGAUGCGACGGCUGGAAGUCCCCGAGAUGAGGUGGACGCGGUACACCGGAACGGACUCACCGGGAAAUGUUUGAUGUCGUCGGCGUCGACUGAGAAGGCUUUUCUGGAUGGUCGUUGGUACGGGUCGAACGGACACCGGUUGCUGGGCAGCCAAGUCAGGCUGCUGCAUCUACCUAAUUGGACAGUAUGGCCGCGACUAUCUCGAUAUCUGCUGAUCAUCGUUCGCGACUUCGCCUCCUCCAUAUAGAAACCACCGCGUCCGCCAGCUCCGCUUAAGCUGCCAAGUAGCUGGUAGUGGUGUUGUACAGAGUGCUAAUGGAGAGGUCGUCGGAGAUCGUAUGGGGUGGUUCUGCUAAAAAGAUACUUCUAUUAGUACAACGUAAACAAAUUCUUUUGGCCAGAUCUUACUUUCUUUGCGAGGACACGCCCGGCAUUAUGUCCAUGUAGGGAGCGAAGUUCACUUGGCAUGUUCCUUCCCACUGUUAUUCUCUAGUGGAUCUCCUCCAGAACUUUAACUAUUUUGUGGACUUGCCCUGUCGUGGAAUUGCUUCCUGUCGGUGAAAUCCCACAAUAGUGGGCAACAGCGUGGACUCCUUUUUCAUCUGCACUGACAUCCUUUAGGCGUUUUUGGGGUUUUCCUUCCAUUUUUAUACCCGUUACUCGUAGAGUAAAAGGGUAUACUAGAUUCGUCGCAAAGUAUGCAAUAGGAAGAGGGUAGAGUUUCCGACUCCAUAAAGUAUAUAUAUUCUUGAUCAGGAUCACUAGCCGAGUCGAUCUAGCCAUGCCCGUCUGUCUGUCCGUCCGGAUGAACGCUGAUAUCUCGGAAACUACAAAAGCUAGAAAGUUUGUUUCAGCAGGGUGCCACGACCAACAAAGCCGACAAACCGCACAAAUGCUAGAAAAAUAAUUUUAACUGAAAUUAAUUGAUCUCGUCAAUAUCUAUCGGCUGAACCAAAAAAAAUCUGUCUGCCGCCUACAUAACCAUAUAUUGAGAUAGCGGGUAGGUGACGCAUUACAAUCUCGCUUUGCUACUUGCAUAUCUCCAUUUCCCUUUGGUCCCUUUAGCUGAGUAACGGGUACCUGAUAGACGAGGUACUAGACGAGGACUAUAGCGUCCUUGUUAAUUUUCAAAUUUCACACCGUUAUUACACGAACACCGCCAAAGAUUAAAGUUCUUAUUUUUUGGGCCGCGGCUAACGGCGUUCAACGAAAUUCACUCGAUUCAAAGGUCUGCUCUCUAUUGCAGUUACACACAAAAAAUGUUGUUGGUAAAAUUCACCAAUGCAGAUAGUAUAUUAACUAUAAAAAAAUGUACUUUACAAAUGGUUGUGUAUGUACUAAUUUUUGCUUUGCUUACAAUUAAAUAGUUAAGUAACUAAUAACAUAGA